rnacentral:rRNA from 1 species
GGUUAAGCGACUAAGCGUACACGGUGGAUGCCCUGGCAGUCAGAGGCGAUGAAGGACGUGCUAAUCUGCGAUAAGCGUCGGUAAGGUGAUAUGAACCGUUAUAACCGGCGAUUUCCGAAUGGGGAAACCCAGUGUGAUUCGUCACACUAUCAUUAACUGAAUCCAUAGGUUAAUGAGGCGAACCGGGGGAACUGAAACAUCUAAGUACCCCGAGGAAAAGAAAUCAACCGAGAUUCCCCCAGUAGCGGCGAGCGAACGGGGAGCAGCCCAGAGCCUGAAUCAGUGUGUGUGUUAGUGGAAGCGUCUGGAAAGGCGCGCGAUACAGGGUGACAGCCCCGUACACAAAAAUGCACAUGCUGUGAGCUCGAUGAGUAGGGCGGGACACGUGGUAUCCUGUCUGAAUAUGGGGGGACCAUCCUCCAAGGCUAAAUACUCCUGACUGACCGAUAGUGAACCAGUACCGUGAGGGAAAGGCGAAAAGAACCCCGGCGAGGGGAGUGAAAAAGAACCUGAAACCGUGUACGUACAAGCAGUGGGAGCACAGAGCAAUCUGUGUGACUGCGUACCUUUUGUAUAAUGGGUCAGCGACUUAUAUUCUGUAGCAAGGUUAACCGAAUAGGGGAGCCGAAGGGAAACCGAGUCUUAACUGGGCGUUAAGUUGCAGGGUAUAGACCCGAAACCCGGUGAUCUAGCCAUGGGCAGGUUGAAGGUUGGGUAACACUAACUGGAGGACCGAACCGACUAAUGUUGAAAAAUUAGCGGAUGACUUGUGGCUGGGGGUGAAAGGCCAAUCAAACCGGGAGAUAGCUGGUUCUCCCCGAAAGCUAUUUAGGUAGCGCCUCGUGAAUUCAUCUCCGGGGGUAGAGCACUGUUUCGGCAAGGGGGUCAUCCCGACUUACCAACCCGAUGCAAACUGCGAAUACCGGAGAAUGUUAUCACGGGAGACACACGGCGGGUGCUAACGUCCGUCGUGAAGAGGGAAACAACCCAGACCGCCAGCUAAGGUCCCAAAGUCAUGGUUAAGUGGGAAACGAUGUGGGAAGGCCCAGACAGCCAGGAUGUUGGCUUAGAAGCAGCCAUCAUUUAAAGAAAGCGUAAUAGCUCACUGGUCGAGUCGGCCUGCGCGGAAGAUGUAACGGGGCUAAACCAUGCACCGAAGCUGCGGCAGCGACGCUGAUGCGUUGUUGGGUAGGGGAGCGUUCUGUAAGCCUGUGAAGGUGUACUGUGAGGUAUGCUGGAGGUAUCAGAAGUGCGAAUGCUGACAUAAGUAACGAUAAAGCGGGUGAAAAGCCCGCUCGCCGGAAGACCAAGGGUUCCUGUCCAACGUUAAUCGGGGCAGGGUGAGUCGACCCCUAAGGCGAGGCCGAAAGGCGUAGUCGAUGGGAAACAGGUUAAUAUUCCUGUACUUGGUGUUACUGCGAAGGGGGGACGGAGAAGGCUAUGUUGGCCGGGCGACGGUUGUCCCGGUUUAAGCGUGUAGGCUGGUUUUCCAGGCAAAUCCGGAAAAUCAAGGCUGAGGCGUGAUGACGAGGCACUACGGUGCUGAAGCAACAAAUGCCCUGCUUCCAGGAAAAGCCUCUAAGCAUCAGGUAACAUCAAAUCGUACCCCAAACCGACACAGGUGGUCAGGUAGAGAAUACCAAGGCGCUUGAGAGAACUCGGGUGAAGGAACUAGGCAAAAUGGUGCCGUAACUUCGGGAGAAGGCACGCUGAUAUGUAGGUGAAGUCCCUCGCGGAUGGAGCUGAAAUCAGUCGAAGAUACCAGCUGGCUGCAACUGUUUAUUAAAAACACAGCACUGUGCAAACACGAAAGUGGACGUAUACGGUGUGACGCCUGCCCGGUGCCGGAAGGUUAAUUGAUGGGGUUAGCGCAAGCGAAGCUCUUGAUCGAAGCCCCGGUAAACGGCGGCCGUAACUAUAACGGUCCUAAGGUAGCGAAAUUCCUUGUCGGGUAAGUUCCGACCUGCACGAAUGGCGUAAUGAUGGCCAGGCUGUCUCCACCCGAGACUCAGUGAAAUUGAACUCGCUGUGAAGAUGCAGUGUACCCGCGGCAAGACGGAAAGACCCCGUGAACCUUUACUAUAGCUUGACACUGAACAUUGAGCCUUGAUGUGUAGGAUAGGUGGGAGGCUUUGAAGUGUGGACGCCAGUCUGCAUGGAGCCGACCUUGAAAUACCACCCUUUAAUGUUUGAUGUUCUAACGUUGACCCGUGAUCCGGGUUGCGGACAGUGUCUGGUGGGUAGUUUGACUGGGGCGGUCUCCUCCUAAAGAGUAACGGAGGAGCACGAAGGUUGGCUAAUCCUGGUCGGACAUCAGGAGGUUAGUGCAAUGGCAUAAGCCAGCUUGACUGCGAGCGUGACGGCGCGAGCAGGUGCGAAAGCAGGUCAUAGUGAUCCGGUGGUUCUGAAUGGAAGGGCCAUCGCUCAACGGAUAAAAGGUACUCCGGGGAUAACAGGCUGAUACCGCCCAAGAGUUCAUAUCGACGGCGGUGUUUGGCACCUCGAUGUCGGCUCAUCACAUCCUGGGGCUGAAGUAGGUCCCAAGGGUAUGGCUGUUCGCCAUUUAAAGUGGUACGCGAGCUGGGUUUAGAACGUCGUGAGACAGUUCGGUCCCUAUCUGCCGUGGGCGCUGGAGAACUGAGGGGGGCUGCUCCUAGUACGAGAGGACCGGAGUGGACGCAUCACUGGUGUUCGGGUUGUCAUGCCAAUGGCACUGCCCGGUAGCUAAAUGCGGAAGAGAUAAGUGCUGAAAGCAUCUAAGCACGAAACUUGCCCCGAGAUGAGUUCUCCCUGACUCCUUGAGAGUCCUGAAGGAACGUUGAAGACGACGACGUUGAUAGGCCGGGUGUGUAAGCGCAGCGAUGCGUUGAGCUAACCGGUACUAAUGAACCGUGAGGCUUAACCUU